rnacentral:rRNA from 1 species
AUACGGAGGGUGCAAGCGUUACUCGGAAUCACUGGGCGUAAAGGGCGCGCAGGCGGUUUGGUAAGUCAGAUGUGAAAGCCCACGGCUCAACCGUGGAAGUGCAUUUGAAACUGCCAGACUUGAGUACCAGAGGGGAAAGUGGAAUUCCCGGUGUAGAGGUGAAAUUCGUAGACAUCGGGAGGAAUAUCGGUGGCGAAGGCGACUUUCUGGCUGGAUACUGACGCUGAGGCGCGAAAGCGUGGGGAGCAAACAGGAUUAGAAACCCUAGUAGUCC